rnacentral:rRNA from 1 species
GACGAACGCUGGCGGCGUGCUUAACACAUGCAAGUCGAACGGAAAGGCCCCUUUGGGGGUACUCGAGUGGCGAACGGGUGAGUAACACGUGCGUAACCUGCCCUUGACUUCGGGAUAACUUCAGGAAACUGGGGCUAAUACCGGAUAGGAAUCCUUGCUGCAUGGGGGGGGUUGGAAAGCUUCGGCGGUUUUGGAUGGACUCGCGGCGUAUCAGCUUGUUGGUGGGGUAGUGGCUUACCAAGGCUUUGACGGGUAGCCGGCCUGAGAGGGCGACCGGCCACAUUGGGACUGAGAUACGGCCCAGACUCCUACGGGAGGCAGCAGUGGGGAAUAUUGCACAAUGGGCGGAAGCCUGAUGCAGCAACGCCGCGUGCGGGAUGACGGCCUUCGGGUUGUAAACCGCUUUCAGCAGGGGCGAAGCUUGUGGUGACGGUACCUGCAGAAGAAGCACCGGCUAACUACGUG